AUUGAACGCUGGCGGCAGGCCUAACACAUGCAAGUCGAACGAGUGGCGGACGGGUGAGUAAUGUCUGGGAAACUGCCUGAUGGAGGGGGCUAACUACUGGAAACGGUAGCUAAUACCGCAUACCAUCGGAUGUGCCCAGCUGGGAUUAGCUAGUAGGUGGGGUAAAGGCUCACCUAGGCGACGAGCCCUAGCUGGUCUGAGAGGAUGACCGGCCACACUGGAACGUAGCAACGGUCCCGCAUCUGACGGGAGGCAGCCGUGGGGAAUAGUGCACAAUGGGCGAAAGCCUGAUGCAGCCAGGCGGCGUGUAUGAAGAAGGCCUGCGGGUUGUAAAGUACUUUCAGCGGGGAGGCGUUACCCGCAGAAGAAGCACAGGCUAACUCCGUGCCAGCAGCCGCGGUAAUUC
rnacentral:rRNA from 1 species